rnacentral:sRNA from 1 species
UCCCGGAACACCUUGGCACCCCAGCGGCUGCUCUUCGAAGUGACCAGCGCUAACGUUGUCAAGGACCCGCCCUCCAAGUACGUGAGGGGGCUGUCAGAAGAACUAACUGCUCUAUGGGAAGGGAGUACAAAAAAAGGGGCAGCAGCCCCGGGCACUGAAGCUCAUCUCUGUCUUUCUCUCUUCUUGCUGCCUUGGGCCUGGGUCAUUUCAGACAAACCUCAGCUCUACACCCUCGCCGUGAUGGGCCCAGGACCGCCAGAUUGCCAGCCAGCCCAGAUCUCUCGCCGUUACUCGGACUUUGAGCGGCUGCACCGAAACCUGCAGCGGCAAUUCCGGGGCCCAAUGGCUGCCAUCUCCUUCCCCCGUAAGCGGCUGCGCCGGAAUUUUACUGCAGAGACCAUUGCCCGCCGUAGCCGGGCCUUUGAGCAGUUUUUGGGUCACCUGCAGGCAGUGCCUGAGCUGCGCCAUGCCCCGGACCUGCAGGACUUCUUCGUGCUGCCGGAGCUGCGGCAGGCACAGAGCCUCACCUGUACUGGCCUCUAUCGUGAGGCUCUGGCACUCUGGGCCAAUGCCUGGCAGCUGCAAGCCCAGCUGGGCACCCCCUCUGGCCCAGACCGCCCCCUGCUGACCCUGGCUGGGCUGGCCGUGUGCCACCAGGAGCUGGAAGACCCUGG